rnacentral:rRNA from 1 species
AGUAACGCGUGAGGAACCUGCCUUCCAGAGGGGGACAACAGUUGGAAACGACUGCUAAUACCGCAUGAUGCGUUGGAGCCGCAUGACUCCGACGUCAAAGAUUUAUCGCUGGAAGAUGGCCUCGCGUCUGAUUAGCUAGUUGGUGAGGUAACGGCCCACCAAGGCGGCGAUCAGUAGCCGGACUGAGAGGUUGGCCGGCCACAUUGGGACUGAGAUACGGCCCAGACUCCUACGGGAGGCAGCAG